rnacentral:rRNA from 1 species
GUGCCAGCCGCCGCGGUAAGACGAGCCACACGAACGUUAUUCGGAAUUACUGGGCUUAAAGGGUGCGUAGGCGGUGCGGAAAGUUGGGUGUGAAAUCCCUCGGCUCAACCGAGGAACUGCGCCCAAAACUACCGCACUCGAGGAAGAUAGAGGUGAGCGGAACUUACGGUGGAGCGGUGAAAUGCGUUGAUAUCGUAAGGAACACCCGUGGCGAAAGCGGCUCACUGGGUCUUUUCUGACGCUGAUGCACGAAAGCUAGGGGAGCAAACGGGAUUAGAAACCCGCGUAGUCC